GAUGAACGCUGGCGGCGUGCCUAAUACAUGCAAGUCGAGCGAACGGACGAGAAGCUUGCUUCUCUGAUGUUAGCGGCGGACGGGUGAGUAACACGUGGAUAACCUACCUAUAAGACUGGGAUAACUUCGGGAAACCGGAGCUAAUACCGGAUAAUAUUUUGAACCGCAUGGUUCAAAAGUGAAAGACGGUCUUGCUGUCACUUAUAGAUGGAUCCGCGCUGCAUUAGCUAGUUGGUAAGGUAACGGCUUACCAAGGCAACGAUGCAUAGCCGACCUGAGAGGGUGAUCGGCCACACUGGAACUGAGACACGGUCCAGACUCCUACGGGAGGCAGCAGUAGGGAAUCUUCCGCAAUGGGCGAAAGCCUGACGGAGCAACGCCGCGUGAGUGAUGAAGGUCUUCGGAUCGUAAAACUCUGUUAUUAGGGAAGAACAUAUGUGUAAGUAACUGUGCACAUCUUGACGGUACCUAAUUAGAAAGCCACGGCUAACUACGUG
rnacentral:rRNA from 1 species